GUGUCAGGCGAACGUGCUAACCACCAACAAUUAUUAGAGAUAGGUUAAGAACUUUCUUGCUAGUGCAAGACCCGGUUUCUUAAGAAACAGUACAGAAGCUGGAAACCAGUGAGUGUCGAUUUAACGUUUGAAAUGGAGAUGGGAUGGAACAAAAGGAUGCAGUAGCUUUUGAACAUUGUUUUGAAACAAAGAUUGGCUUAGGAUGAGAAAAAGAAAAAGCAGUCCAAAAUGUACACAGACAUGGGAACUGGUGUUUGCUCCAUAAGGAAAGUUGCCAGAGAAUGAGUAAGCUUGGCUGUCCUUACCGCAGCCUAGUGAAUCAUAUAUUGAGAAUCUUCUGGAAGAAAAUAUACUGCUCAGCAUCUCUAAACAAGUGCACCCUGAAGCCCUGAGCAAUACAGGAAAACCCAAAGUUUGGGAACACCUUGUCCUACUUUUUGAAAUCUCCUUAAUCCUUGAGUUUCAAUUACACAGAACACAUGUCAAUGCUGUGCACAAGACCUGUGGAGAAGAAGGAGGUAGUCUGUAAGGGAAUGGCCUGACAAGUCCCCCAACUUUAACUCAAUUGAGCUGCUCUAGGAGGAGUUGGAUCGAAAGGUUUGAGAGGGGUGUCACUUCACAGCUUCCUCUGGGAAAUCCUGCAAGGAUUUUGGAGAAAAAAAAAGAGGCUGUUUGUAAUUGUAUGAAGAAAAGAUGUGAGAUAGUUAAAUCUGCUAAGGAAGAUGUCAAGGAAUGUACAGUUCCAGCAACUGCUAACUAUGCUGUACACAUUCUCUGUCAACUUUUCCAAAUAGGCAAAGUGAAAAUGGGUCCGAGUUACCCAGGGGUGGACAAAUCAUAAAUGCAUUUGCUAGGCCAUCGGGCAUCUAAACGCUCCCAUGUUCUGACCAGGCCCACGUUUUAGUUGUGCCAGAAACCUUCUCUAUCUAAACUAAAUGUAAUGGUGAGCUAAUUACCUCAUCAAGUGCAUUCGUACAAACUAACAAACAGAUUUCUGAUCAUUAUCCUCUUCUAACAUUGUUUAUAACGUAGCACCCGGCAACAAAAAGUCAGCAAGUCCUCAUACUGACUGUAAAAGAUGGUAUUUGAGGCUCCUGAGUGGUGGAACAGUCAAGCAUUCACAUUAUACUCGGGAGAUCACGAGUUUGGUUGCCACAGCUAUAUGUUAACAAAAUUGGCCAUGGUCUCGGUCUCUGGGUUUGGAGAGAUACUGAGGGAUAAUGGGAUACUGUCUCUCCCUGUAAAUCACAGUCAUUCGGGAAGCAUAUGCAUGUGAAAGAGGGUGGAUAGCACUUUCCUCCGAGUGUGUUAUGCUGCCCUGUGAUGCAGCAAUUAGAAAAGAUGUGGUUGGCUGGCUGCAUGUGUCUUGGAGGAAGCAAAUACUAGUUGGUAGGUGUCAAGUGACAGGGGAGAGCUGGCUGGUGGGUGGGGACUGCCAAGUUACCAAUGUGACCAAAGACAGCACCAAAUUAAACCAAAUACCACUACUAAAUGUUUCGCUAUAUUAUAUUAUAUAUAUAUAUAAAAUAUAAGCAGGAUGCCAAAUCUGCUUACGAUUUGUCCAUCUUUAUAUCUCAAUUUGUUUUCAAGAUGAACAACCUACAAUUUGGUCUGAUUCACACUGUACCCAUUAGCAUGAGAGUGGGUACAUCUUGAUGAUUAGCUCAGAGGAACAAACAAAAAAAAAAAAUCAGAUUAUUAUUACACUGAGAGGAGGGAAAAAUCACUGAGGCAACAGUGUGUGUGUGUUGGCAGGGGUUGACUCUCAGUUCUCAGCUUUCCCCAGCAAAGCAACCCCAUUAUAAUUCCCCCUGGCCUAACAUAUCCGCACGGCUCGAGUUUCCUAGCUCUGCAACAAUCCAAAAAUCAAUGGCCACUCCAGUAGACUGCCUGCCUCUCAGUCUCAAUUAAUAAUACAAGCUAACACACCAGUGAUAUGGGUAGAGUUAGCUCUGAUCAACUCUCAUCAUCAAAAGAAGUUGAUGUACAAGUACUCAAGCCUUUCGGAGCACUAGACACAAGGAGGAAUAGCUCAACCAUUCUGAAGUGAUGAAGCAGUGAUGAAGAGGACUGUUGUAUCAUCCUGAUAAAAAAAAAAAAAAGAUAUAAAAAGAUAGAUGAAGAUGGAAAUCAACGUAAGCAUAUCUAGCAAAGCUAUGAGCAAGCCCUUCAACAUUCGUCAAGCCUCCUCGUGUGUGUGUGUGUGUGUGUGCGUGCAUGUACUUUGAUCGAUACAGAGCUCUGCAUUUGCUUUAUUCAUAUGCAAAGAAGACCCUCUCUUAUCACAGGCUCCUAGUCCACUGACACACUAAUAAUUCUCUGCCGAGCAUAAAUUCGGUUGCAUGGCAACCGGCAAUUACGAUUGCCUACUGGAGAACCUGCCAAAUAUUAUUUCCCCAUCCGAGUUUCCUAUUUAAGUCAUAUACUCCGUCACUUGAUCAAAUCACACAGCUGCUUAACAGGUAGAGCUCAGUUUUUCAUCAGUUGAACGCAGACCUCAGUAAUCUCUGCAGACCAAUAUACUUGGCUACAGGCCUAUCUUGUAAACAUAAAUAAAACAGAUGCACGCAGUCUAGUCAAAGCAGAAGUGUAGCAAUUGCUAUUUAGAGCAUCUUCAUGGCAGUGGUGGCUUGGCGGUUAAGGUUCUGGGUUAAGGAUCGGGGGCUCAAGCUCCAGCACUGCCAGGAUCUGGGUUACUGAUCAGAAGGUCGGGAGUUCAAGCCCCAGCACUGGCAGGCUCUGGGUUACUGAUCAGAAGGUCGGGGGUUCAAGCCCCAGCACUGCCAGGCUCUGGGUUACUGAUCAGAAGGUCGGGGGUUCAAGCCCCAGAACUGCCAGCGCUGCCGCUGUUGGGCCCUUGAGCAAGGCCCUUAACCCUCUCUGCUCCAGGGGGCGCUGUAUCAUGGCUGACCCUGCGCUCUGACCUCGCUGACCCUGCGCUCUUCCUAACAUGCCGGGAUAUGCGAAGAAAAGAAUUUCACUGUGCUGUAAUGUAGUUGUGAUCAAUAAAGACUCUUUAUCAUUACCUUCAGUAAGCACUUUAUCCUGGUAGUGAAUCCGUAGCUUAUCCCAGGUACUCUGGGGAGUGAGGCAGGAAUAUAACCUAGAUAACCUUGCACACACACCCAUUCACACCUAAGGGUGAGUUUAUCUCCUGGCAUGAACCCGAGGAAAUACAGACAGACACGGUGAAAACAUAAAACGCCACACGCACACACAGCAGCCCAGGAUCAAACCAGUCCAAAUUAAACAAAAAAAAAAAAAAGAGAGAGGAAGUGAGGGAACAAACAAACAAACAAACAAAAAAGAAUGUUCCACAACCAUAAAUGUAACAAUAAAUGCAUUUAAAAAAUAAACUACUUUGAUUAGAGUAUCAGUGACUGUGCUUCAACCCCGCUGUUGAUAUUUUCCCCAUAACAGCACACCUUCAAGCACGUUAUUCCAUACUACCGGAAUGAGUAGUGGAGAUAAGCACUACACCUCUUUGUUUGAUAUAUUUUCUAAAACGAUAACGGUUUCCCGUCGGGUCAUUAAAACAGUUUCACUGCUUGAUUGGAAAAUAAUGACGCUUCCACCUUGCUUUGGGAAACACACUUAGACUAAAAUAUUCAUUACGACCCACCCUUACUGCGAUAAGAGUGUUUGAGAAGAGGGUGUGAAACAUGCUGUCGGAGUUCCCACCGCUUUCUUCCUCGCCAUUCGUUCACACGUUCUCCGCGGGCCGGGCACUUCUUCGGUUUUAGAGAGCAGCUUUUCCAAACUGCUACGAGAAGUGCCUUUCUGUCGGAAUGCACCGGAAGCCUGUUUGAAUCUAGACCUUAUAGUGGGCUUAAUUGAGUUUCAAGACAUGAGUGGAAAAGAUUCCAUAGACAACGUUAUCUCCAUAAUACAGUAUACUAAAAGAGUUGGGGAUGUUGUGCUCACUGUGUACCUUCCACAACCAAUUAAAAGCGGUAUUCAGCGAAGGUUGCGAACAUUACAACACGUCCUGACACUAGACUGCAUAUUCGUUAAGGCAGACAUGCAAAAACGGACAAAGAGCUCGUCUUUUACUCGUUUGGAAAACCCAAUCCUCCGGAGACCCUGUUAUUCAGCUAGAACAGUUUUCCCUACUGCACAUCUCCAUCGCAAUCCUGUUGCGUUUCAUAUUCAAGAGUAAAAUUCAAUAUCCGUCAAAUGAAGACCUUCUUAACAUAGAAUGCGCCUGCUGUCAUUACCCUGUCCAUUUCAACGGUAGCAGCAGCUUAGUAAUUGGCUGGUUUGUUUUUUUUUUAACCCCCUGCUGGUGUUUAGGAGCCACAGUUUUCUAAAUGAAACUAAAUGAAUUCUGGUAUGCCGUUACACUCUGAAAAAUCCUUCAUGGAGGUGUGAAUUAAAAUUUUACCGAGACAAAAAUGACUCAAAACACUUUUGUUUCUAGAGAUAUAGGAAAUAUAGAGGUUUCUUUGUACAGCUUGAUAGACUUUUUAAAGUGGCUGCACUCCUCCUUUGGCUCUACUGUUGCUGAGUUUCGUUUAUUCUACAACACAGGUGAACUGGAUUCUUCAGAAGGUGUUGAUUAAUUUCCCACAACAGCAUUUCAACUCACUGGUUUAAAAGAAUGCACUCGCUCUAAUACUUUACGAUUGCUAUAGUAACAGCUCAUUCACAGAGACUUGGAUGGUGGAUGCUCCAUGUAAUCUAAGGCUAAUAUGGAGGUUCAUGGAAGGAGUCUCCAGUUCAGUGCCUUGGGGCACCUUGGUGGCUUGGCGUUUAAGGCUUUGGGUUAUUGAUCGGAAGGUCGGGGGUUCAAGCCGCAGCACUGCCAGGCUCUGGGUUACUGAUAGGAAGGUCAGGGGUUCAAGCCGCAGCACUGC
ensembl:lncRNA